UACCACGGCUGACGAGCUCCACCUGCCCGGGUUUGUUGUUCGGAGUUUGCUCUCCUAGGCAGAUUGCCUACCACGGCUGACGAGCUCCACCUGCCCGGGUUUGUUGUUCGGAGUUUGCUCUCCUAGGUGAAUUGCCUACCACGGCUAACGACCUCCACCUGCCCGGGUUUGUUUAGAGUUUGCUCUCCUAGGUGAAUUGCCUCCCACGGCUGACGAGCUCCACCUGCCCGGGUUUAUUGUUCGGAGUUUGCUCUCCUAGGUGAAUUGCCUACCACGGCUAACGACCUCCACCUGCCCGGGUUUGUUUAGAGUUUGCUCUCCUAGGUGAAUUGCCUACCACGGCUAACGACCUCCACCUGCCCGGGUUUGUUUAGAGUUUGCUCUCCUAGGUGAAUUGCCUACCACGGCUAACGACCUCCACCUGCCCGGGUUUGUUUAGAGUUUGCUCUCCUAGGUGAAUUGCCUACCACGGCUAACGACCUCCACCUGCCCGGGUUUGUAUAGAGUUUGCUCUCCUAGGCAGAUUGCCUACCACGGCUAACGAGCUCCACCUGCC